GCAAAGGUAGCAUAGUCAUUAGUUCUUUAAUUGUGAUCUGGUAUGAAUGGCUUGACGAGGCAUGGGCUGUCUUAAUUUUGAAUUGUUUAUUGAAUUUGGUCUUUGAGUUAAAAUUCUUAGAUGUUUUUAUGGGACGAGAAGACCCUAUAGAGUUUAACAUUUGCUAUGGUCCUCUUUCUGUUUGUGAGGGUUCACUGGGCCAUUUAAUAUGUUUUGUUGGGGUGAUGGGAGGGAUUAAUUUAACCCCUCCUUUUGUUAUUAUAUUUAUUUAUAUUUACUUGAUCCAUUUAUUUUGAUUGUAAGAUUAAAUUACCUUAGGGAUAACAGCGUUAUCUUCCUUGAGAGUUCUUAUCGGCAGGGGGGUUUGCG
rnacentral:rRNA from 1 species